GUUUUUGUUAGUGGCAAUGAGAAGGGGUUCUGAUUGGUUGGCUUUAUGUCCUCUGUUUUUCACGGAGGCAUCAAUGCAGAGCUAACCAGAGCUAACCUGUACGAAGUUUUACGGAGAAGCGCAGAAUGAAGCAUAUAACAGUGCACCGUAAAGGAGAUGAAAAACCUCGACCUGUUCCCAGCUUGGAAAAUCCAGACCUGUAUCAAUGUCCCUUCUGUACCCCAGAGUUAUAUAGACCUGCUGGUUAUUCACAAAUGGCUACACAUCUUGCCAGUCACUUGCUCAAAGCAGUCAAUCAUAGAGACUACAUAAUAUACAGCUGUGGACUUGGUUGUGCGGGAAAGGCUAAACACUUUCAUUGUUGUCACUGCUCAAAGACGUACAUAAAUAAAAAUGGUAUCUUAAAACAUUUGGAUAUCCAUUGCCAAGAUGCCUCAUCCCUGCCAUUAGCCGCAUCAACAUCUGCUCCAGCUACAUCAGGCCCCUCAGCCGCAUCAACGUCUGCUCCAGCUACAUCAGGCCCCUCAGCCGCAUCAACAUCUGCUCCGGCUACAUCAGGCCCCUCAGCCGCAUCAACAUCUGCUCCAGCUACAUCAGGCCCCUCAGCCGCAUCAACAUCUGCUCCCUCAGAAGUCCCAUCUCACACACUGGAAGCACACAUUCAACCACAAAGCCAACAUUCUGAACAAAAUGUACUGAACCGUUCAAAUCCAAGGGUUGUCACUACAAAGCUAGUUUCGGUGCAGUGUCCUCACUGUAAUCACAUGUUGCUCCUGCACUCACAACAUGUACUGUAUGUAUUAUAACAUGUGUAAUGGAAAUUCUUUUAUUAAGUGUUCCAAAGUGUGUGACCUUUGGUUUACCUCACUCCAGUGAACAUCUGUGUUAGGGAGUAAGCUGUAAAAGCCA